rnacentral:rRNA from 1 species
AGUGAACGCUGGCGGUAGGCCUAACACAUGCAAGUCGAACGGCAGCACAGUAAGAGCUUGCUCUUACGGGUGGCGAGUGGCGGACGGGUGAGGAAUACAUCGGAAUCUACUUUUUCGUGGGGGAUAACGUAGGGAAACUUACGCUAAUACCGCAUACGACCUACGGGUGAAUGCAGGGGAUCUUCGGACCUUGCGCGAUUGAAUGAGCCGAUGUCGGAUUAGCUAGUUGGCGGGGUAAAGGCCCACCAAGGCGACGAUCCGUAGCUGGUCUGAGAGGAUGAUCAGCCACACUGGAACUGAGACACGGUCCAGACUCCUACGGGAGGCAGCAGUGGGGAAUAUUGGACAAUGGGCGCAAGCCUGAUCCAGCCAUACCGCGUGGGUGAAGAAGGCCUUCGGGUUGUAAAGCCCUUUUGUUGGGAAAGAAAAGCAGCAGGUUAAUACCCCGCUGUUCUGACGGUACCCAAAGAGUAAGCACCGGCUAACUUCGUG